rnacentral:tRNA from 1 species
GUUCCUGUAGUUGAACUUUAUCAACGGCGAUUUUUCAGGUCGAAGGUCCUGGUUAAAGCCCAGGUGGGAACU